rnacentral:misc_RNA from 1 species
GGAAUCCACAAAAUAAUACCUGCCAUUCAGGAACCACGCCGACCAAUGCAGUUUUGAGGAGGAGUAAGCCCACGUAUGCCUCAAAGCCCUGUAAGAUAAAGAGUAUAGGACAUAGUAUCCAUAGCUGACCAUCUACCCCAGCUGUUUCUCCCCAAACGACAUCCAUUCUCUUAGCCUUUCCAAGAGCAAUCCGAGUAUAAAGCCUCUGACGCUGAUAUCUAUUUUGUAGAAGCAUUGCAACUCCUUGCAUCAUGGCCCACUGUAGGAAGAGCUGCACACCUCUCUGCUUUUGGGCACAAUUUGGCUGUCCUUUGAUCUCCCACGUAAGACUAACCAGGGCCAUAACCAUAGCGCAGUAGUGAUGAUAUAUCCACCAUGGGCGAAUGUCACUGCCAUUGACUCUUAGUAUGUUUUCACGCAAAGCCAAUCCUGUGUAUAGGAACAAGAGCCAUGCCUGGUACAGUUGAACUGGAAAUGCAGGCAAGCAUCCAUCCCAAACCCAG